AUAUACAUUACAUACUAGUGCUUUGCGGCCCUUAUCGUCUUGUUUGUGGAGGAGGGGAGUGAGUGGGUAUGGAGCUUCAGUUUGCAGGCGCAUCGUAUUUGAUGAAAGAAGGUAUAAAACCCCGAGGUUUGAUUAUCAAAUCAUCAAGUAGUACUUCACAAGGGCUGCAGAAAUGUUCAAAGAAAAACCUUUCUCGUAUACUUAGAACAGAAGCCGCCAUUAGAGGUAUCCAGAGGAAAGCCAACUCAGAAAAAUACACUAAUCUUUGGCCCAAGGCCGUUUUGGAGGCUCUCGAUGAUGCUAUUAGGGACAAUCGCUGGGACUCUGCUCUUAAGAUUUUCGACCUUCUUCGCAAGCAACAUUGGUAUGAGCCAAGAUGCCAUACAUAUGCUAAGCUUUUGGUAAUGCUCGGCAAGUGCAAGCAGCCAAGUAAAGCUAACUUGCUUUUUGAGAUUAUGCUAGUGGAUGGGCUUCAACCAACAGUAGAUGUUUAUACUGCACUUGUAAAUGCAUAUGGUCUUAGUGGCCUCCUUGAUGAGGCGCUGCGAACUAUUGAUGAUAUGAAAUCAGUUAGUAAUUGCAAGCCUGAUGUGUAUACUUACUCGAUCCUAAUUAAAUGCUGCACUAAAGUUCGUCGUUUUGAUAUGAUUGAAUACAUUUUGGCUGAGAUGGUGUAUUUGGGAAUUGAAUGUAGUUCCGUGACAUACAAUACCAUAAUUGAUGGCUAUGGUAAAGCUAAGCUGUUUGAGCAGAUGGAAAGCUCCUUGACCGAUAUGAUAGAAAAUGAGACUGCCUUUCCAGAUGUUUUCACCUUGAAUUCAGUAAUUGGGUCCUAUGGCAGCUGUGGGAAGCUUGAGAAAAUGGAGAAGUGGUUUGAAGAAUUUCAGGUAAUGGGAAUAAAGCCAGAUGUUAUGACAUUUAACAUUCUUAUCAAGUCAUAUGGAAGAGCUGGCAUGUACCAGAAAAUGGAGUCUGUACUUGAUUUUAUUAGGAAUCGGUUCUAUUCUCCAACAGUUGUGACUUACAAUAUCAUCAUUGAGACAUUGGGGAAAGCUUGCCUCAUUAAGAACAUGGAACAGUUUUUCCUACAGAUGAAGCAUGAAGGGGUGAAGCCAAGUUCAUUCACUUAUUGCUCUCUUGUAAGUGCUUAUAGUAGAGCUGGACUUAUGGAAAAUGUUGAUUCAAUCAUGAGGCAAGUUGAGAAUUCAGAUGUAGUUCUAGAUACUCCUUUUUUCAAUUGCAUCAUCAGUGCUUAUGGUCAAGCUGGUGAUAUAGAGAGGAUGGUGGCAUUAUUCUUGGAAAUGAAGGUCAGAAAAUGUAAACCAGACUACAUCACAUUUUCUACCAUGAUUCAGGCGUACAAUUCACAAGGGAUGACUGAAGCUGCAAUGGACUUGAAGACAAAAAUAAUUACUUCUUGUGAAUCAAACGAAUUGAUCAGCAGCUAGUACAAUCUAUCUGCUACCGAAGGAAACCAUUCACUUGGAACUCUGUUCAUCAAUCUCAAUGUUGUGAAAGUGGGCAGAGUGUUAUCUGCAUGUGAGUUUAAGGAUGCUAUAGCAAUCCGUUAAUCAGAUGGGAUGGAUCCAAGGAAAAGAACAUAGUGAGUCUAUUUGCGGCAAUGUGAUUUCUCUUACAUGUUUCUGUGAACUUUCGACGGCCUUAACCCACAACUAGAGAGAUUUGCAGUUUCCAAAAGCUCUUGUUAGGGAAUAGUUUGGUUUAACUUCUCUGAGUAGCUUUACAGUUUGUUUGCCUAUGUAUGUUAUUUCUUGACUCGUUUUUUCUUGUAUUAGCAUAUUUAUAUACAGGUAAGAGAGGGAGGGAGCAGUUAAAGUUCUUCUGUUUACUAUGUUCACGAAACAGCCAAACCGUGCUGUGAUGUCUGUAGUGCAACCUGUGGGUUCAUCUUCAGUUGAAAACCUCAGUGAUGCUUGGGUGAAUGAAGAUUCUAACAGUAGUGGGUGAUUAUGAUGGAUAAUUAACUCCUCGGUAACAUUGAGGAUCUACACUAUUUCAGCUGUCACUGUGGGGUUGUCUAUUGCAGUACUAAUAGUCAUGCAGCAAGGCCUUUUUUUUUUUUUAACUAACCAGAGCUGAGUCACAACCAUACAUAUGGGUUUUGAACAGGUCAGUGAUGUAACAGGACUGACUUCUUUCGAAAGAGCAAAGCCAUGGGACAGAUGGAGCAUUAUUAAGACACUUGCUGAUUCUUCCUUCUAAAUCGGGUUGUUUUACCUCUUACUGGUUGCAAGUUUUUAGUAAACAGAUAUAUAGAGCAAUGUAGUGUAAGAUAGUUAUACCAUUUUCCAGCCCCUCGCCAUUUCACAUGUUACUGUGGAAAUGAAUUACAAUAUUAUGUUUGAUAUACUACUUGAGCAGCAGGUGAACAUUACUUA